rnacentral:rRNA from 1 species
GAUGAACGCUAGCGGCAGGCUUAAUACAUGCAAGUCGUGGGGGCAGCAGCUCUGUAGCAAUACAGAGGCUGGCGACCGGCAAACGGGUGCGGAACACGUACGCAACUUACCCAUAACUGGUGAAUAGCCCUCCGAAAGGAGGAUUAAUACAUCGUAACAUAAUGAAAGGGCAUCCUUUUAUUAUUAUAGCUCCGGCGGUUAUGGAUGGGCGUGCGGCUGAUUAGGAGUUGGCGGAGUAAUAGCCCACCAAGCCAACGAUCAGUAACUGGUGUGAGAGCACGACCAGUCACACGGGCACUGAGAC